CCCUUAGAUGUUCUGGGCUGCACGCGCGCUACACUGAUGCGCUCAACGAGUUUUAACCUUGCCUGGAAAGGUUGGGUAAUCUUUUUAAAACGCAUCGUGAUGGGGCUAGACCCUUGCAAUUAUUGGUCUCCAACGAGGAAUUCCUAGUAAACGCAAGUCAUCAGCUUGCAUUGAUUACGUCCCUGCCCUUUGUACACACCGCCCGUCGCACCUACCGAUUGAAUGGUCCGGUGAAAUCUUCGGAUUGAGACUUUGAUUUCUUCACGGAAAACGCUGUUUUAAGAAGUUGAUUAAACCUUACCAUUUAGAGGAAGGUGAAGUCGUAACA
rnacentral:rRNA from 1 species